ACUCAAAUGAAUUGACGGGGGCCCGCACAAGCAGCGGAGCGUGUGGUUUAAUUCGAUGCAACGCGAAGAACCUUACCGGGGUUUGACAUGUAUGGGAAAGCCCUAGAGAUAGGGACCUCCUUCGGGAUCCAUGCACAGGUGCUGCAUGGCUGUCGUCAGCUCGUGCCGUGAGGUGUUGGGUUAAGUCCCGCAACGAGCGCAACCCUCGUCGCUAGUUGCUUUUUCUAGCGAGACUGCUGCGCAAAACGCAGAGGAAGGUGGGGAUGACGUCAAGUCAUCAUGGCCUUUAUGCCCCGGGCUACACACACGCUACAAUGGGCGGUACAGACGGUUGCUAAGCCGCGAGGUGGAGCUAAUCCGACAAAACCGUCCUCAGUUCAGAUUGCAGGCUGAAACUCGCCUGCAUGAAGGCGGAGUUGCUAGUAACCGCAGGUCAGCACACUGCGGUGAAUACGUUCCCGGGCCUUGUACACACCGCCCGU
rnacentral:rRNA from 1 species